GAUGAUUGGAGUGAAGUCGUAACAAGGUAGCUGUAGGUGAACCUGCAGAAGGACA
rnacentral:misc_RNA from 1 species